rnacentral:rRNA from 1 species
CAGGCCUAACACAUGCAAGUCGAACGCGAAAGUUUCUUCGGAAACGAGUAGAGUGGCGCACGGGUGAGUAACGCGUGGAUUAUCUACCUACUGGUACGGGACAACAGUUGGAAACGACUGCUAAUACCGUAUACGCUGGUAACGGGAAAGGGGGCCUCUUCUUGAAAGCUCUCGCCAGUAGAUGAGUCCGCGUUUCAUUAGCUAGACGGUGGGGUAACGGCCUACCGUGGCAACGAUGAAUAGCAGGCCUGAGAGGGUGGCCUGCCACACUGGGACUGGAACACGGCCCAGACUCCUACGGGAGGCAGCAGUGGGGAAUAUUGCACAAUGGGCGCAAGCCUGAUGCAGCAACGCCGCGUGAGCGAUGAAGGCCUUCGGGUCGUAAAGCUCUGUCCUCAAGGAAGAAUAAAUGACGGUACUUGAGGAGGAAGCCCCGGCUAACUACGUGCCAGCAGCCGCGGUAAUACGUAGGGGGCAAGCGUUAUCCGGAAUCACUGGGCGUAGAGGGUGCGUAGGCGGUUUUUCAAGUCAGAAGUGAAAGGCUAUGGCUCAACCAUAGUAAGCUUUUGAAACUGUUAAACUUGAGUGCAGGAGAG